UCAAAUUUACGGCCUCUUUUUUUGAAUUGUUAUUACAUACAUAUGUGUAUAUACAUAUAUUCCUAAAUAUCACCUGUUCAAUCUGUAUAAUGUUACUUGCAUAUAUAUUUUCACACUGGCCAUUUGGCAUUGAAUAACCAAUUGAUGUGCUCUUCCCAGGGGAAACUAGAGUCUCUCCUUCUCGGCUUUCCUUGGCUGCCUGUAGUUCUUUGUGGAGAGUUGAGGCCCCCAGGCUACUUUGGCAUGUCUAAUAUUGUUGUUCUUGUCCAGCACCCACUUCAACAGUCAUGUUGGUACAACUCUAUGUGUGGAGCUUCUGAUCAGCUCCCAGUUCGGUAGUCAUGUGGGUUCGACUCUGGGUGUGUAGCUUCUGAGACUUUGAGGAGGCACAGUGUCACAGCAAACUCUCUGAUCCUGGACAUGGGUGGAAGUGUUUGUAUUUUGUGAAAACUAAACAAUGAAAGAUUUGAGAAUGAACAUGUACUUUGUCCAUCCAUUUAAUCAGGCAUGCUUUGGGAAGGAGUUACCAUGUUGUGAGAGAUGGGGAAAGGCCAAACUCUUCAAAAAGGAUGUCGCCAAGAAAACAUCUGCCUGUGUUUUGAGGUUCACACUUUGCCAGUCUCCUUGAAAAUAGAAUUAUCACAUGACCUACUGCUGAUAAAUAAGAGUGUGUGGCGAGAAGAAAAAUGACUUGGACUUCACCGGAAACUCAGACCACAGAACAUUUUCAACCAGGUAAUUAGGCUGAUAUGAGAUGUCACAAGUGGUGAUUGUUACAAAGGACUGCCUCUGAGAUGCAAGCUCAGGAUUAAAGGGUGUCUAGAUGGCCAGGGCUCCACUUGCAAUGCUGAGCCAAUGACAGUGUCCAGCAAGAUGCUCCUGAACCUACUGGAAAUGCUGGUCCCCCCACCUCCACCCCAGGGACCUGACUUUGAAAAUAAGGUUAAAAGAUGAUGGCUGUGGGCAAAUGAAGCCGCUCUCUAGUGA